GUAAUAUAUAGAUAACGUGCCUCUUAGUCUGGGAUAGCCAUUGGAAACGAUGAUUAAUACCGGAUACUCCUUCUAACUCUAAUGUUAGUCGGGAAAGUUUUUCGCUAAGAGAUCGGUCUAUAUCCCAUCAGUUAGUUGGUAAGGUAACGGCUUACCAAGGCAAUGACGGGUAGCGGGUUUGAGAGGAUGAUCCGCCACACUGGUACUGAGACACGGACCAGACUCCUACGGGAGGCAGCAGUGAGGAAUAUUGCACAAUGGGGGAAACCCUGAUGCAGCAACGCCGCGUGGAGGAUGACGCAUUUCGGUGUGUAAACUCCUUUUAUGAGUCAAGAAAAUGACGGUAGCUCAUGAAUAAGCACCGGCUAACUCCGUGCCAGCAGCCGCGGUAAUACGGAGGGUGCAAGCGUUACUCGGAAUCACUGGGCGUAAAGGACGCGUAGGCGGGAUGCCAAGUCUGAUGUGAAAUCCUAUGGCUUAACCAUAGAACUGCAUUGGAAACUGGUAACCUAGAGUAUGGGAGGGGGAGAUGGAAUUAGUGGUGUAGGGGGUAAAAUCCGUAGAUAUCACUAGGAAUACCGAAAGCGAAGGCGAUCUCCUGGAACAUAACUGACGCUAAGGCGUGAAAGCGUGGGGAGCAAACGGGAUUAGAUACCCCGGUAGUCCACGCCCUAAACGAUGAACACUAGUCGUCGCUCUGCUUGUCAGGGCGGUGAUGCACUUAACAGAUUAAGUGUUCCGCCUGGGGAGUACGGUCGCAAGAUUAAAACUCAAAGGAAUAGACGGGGACCCGCACAAGUGGUGGAGCAUGUGGUUUAAUUCGAAGAUACGCGAAGAACCUUACCUAGCCUUGACAUUGAUAGAAUACCCUAGAGAUAGAGUAGUGCCUUUCGGGGAACUUGAAAACAGGUGCUGCACGGCUGUCGUCAGCUCGUGUCGUGAGAUGUUGGGUUAAGUCCCGCAACGAGCGC
rnacentral:rRNA from 1 species